ACAUGUUUUAUUUAGUGUAAUGAAAGAAUAAUACAACCAAUUUAUUCACCUAGGAGACAUUAAUAUUAUUAAUUUUUAUAAAUAGUAUUUAACUUUUAUACCUUAUAAAGUGAUAAACUCUUACUCUAUCUAUCACUAAAAAAAGAGAAAAAAAUAUGGCUACAAUUCUCAAAUUUAUGUACGUCGUAUUUAUAAUUUUGUUCUUAUUUUCUGUUGCAUCUAAAGUUGAUGGUCGGAAAUGUGUUAAAGACUCUGAUUGUCCAAAGAACGAAUCCUUCGAUGGAAAGGCUCCACUUGAGGUGAAGUGUAUUAAUGGUUUUUGUAAAUCUCGACUACCACCACGUGUAAUUGAGUAAAAAAUCAAAGGAUCAUAGAGAGACUUUGCAUGAAUGAAUAAAGUAUCUUAUCUACACAAGAUCUAUGUAAUAAUGUAUUUUAAGACAAUACAAAUAUAAACAUAAUAUAGCAAACAAUAUUAUUAAUA